rnacentral:lncRNA from 1 species
UGAAUCUGAAUUUGAAUUAGAAUUUCUAGUUACAAACGUGUAUAUUGCAGGUCUGGUGUGUUGGUUGUGAAUCUGAAUUUUUGUUCUGUGCUAGGAGCUAGCCUUGGCUGUGUCGUGCAUAUGCAUAGAGCAUGUCUGAAUUUCUGUUCUCUACAGAAUUCUUGAGCUAACUUGGUGCGCAUUUGACAGGAGUUCUUGCACGGUUCAAAGUAUGUUCAGCUGACAAAAAGAAGGAUACAUGCAGGGAGCGAGGAAGGGAAGAAGACGACUUUCAGAAGUCAGAUUGUUGGGAGCCGUAGAGAUCCAUAAUGCAGUUUCACACACAGAGGACUUCAUAUGUAGUCCAUGAUGAUCAGAGAUGAGUCAUUGCAGUGUGUUGUUUAUGUGUAAAUCGGAGAUGACUUCAUGUGUAAUUGUAGCUCAGAGAUGACUGCAUUGCAGUCAUGUUCAUGUGUAAUCUGCAAAAUUGUGAAAUAUAUUGAACAUGCUACCAGAUUGCAUGAAUGAUUGUUUACAGCUUGAGUGAUGUAUCCAAAUAAAUUGCUUUGCAGUCAAC